AACCUAUGUGCCGAAGAAGCUAUUUCAGAAUUACAUCUAUCACAAACAGAGUUUAUAUGACGUUUAUCAAAUACAAAGGGAAGCCCAGCUCCUAGAACAGAAGCCAAUGAAAACCCCUGUACAGACUCCCGCGUGAGAUUCAUCCAUCGUGGAGAUUGAGUUUCAUCCAACUUUUGUGUCCAAAAUGUUAAAUAUAGAAUACUAAUUGCCCAGUAAUAAAAUCUAAGAUUCGGCAGAGCCAAACUGCUUUCCUUUUUUGAUUUCUGUAAAUAUUUCUUACUUAACCUGGGAUUUCUAUAUUGCCAUAUAUAUGAAGAAAUUUCUGAAACGAUAGUAUCAAAAAAAGAUUUAGGAAUAAAAAUUGAUACUGCCUGAAAUAGAUACAGAAAUUUAGGUAAAAUAAACAUCUUAAUAACAUUAAUUCUACCGAUCAAAGAUAAAGACAGUGGGGACCAUUUAGUAAACAGUUCUUUAACAUGAUCAAUUAAAGGUAAAAAUUAACUUUAAAUAUGUCCUUAUUACUUCUUCGUAAUUAUAACCCCCAAAUACGUAAAAUAAUCAGUAGCCAAUCUAAAUGGUAAUUGUCUAUAAAUAAGAUUUGCAUAUUUAAUGGGAAAAGCACACUCUUAUCAAGAUUCAAUCUAUACCCAGAAAAGCUACUAAACUGGGCAAGUAGAGUUAUUACUGCAGGAAUGGAUUUCUCUGGGUUAGAAAUAUAUAAUAACAGGUCAUCUGCAUACAGUGAUAAUUUAUGCGUCCCGUUCCCAUGAAUAAUGCCAAAUAUUUUGGGUGAAUCAAGAACAGCAAUUGUCAAGGGCUCCAGGGCAAUAUCAAAUAAUAAAGGACUUCAAGGACAGCCCUGUCUAGUACCUCGAAAAAGCCUAAAAAAAGGGGAUCUCUGAUUAUUGGUAAACAGCAGCCAAGGGUGUAUAAUAUAACAGUUUAAUCCAAGAUAUAAAUUUUGAACUGUAAUUAAAUUUCUCAAGUAUAUUAAAUAAAUAUUCCCAUUCAAGUCUAUCAAUCGCUUUCUCGGUGUCAAGCGAAAUAACACAUUCUGAAGUAUUAGAUGAAGUAGUGUAUACAAUGUUCAUUAACUUCCUAACAGUAAAAAGUGAAUAAUGAUUUUUAAUAAAUCCUGUCUGAUCCUCAGAAAUAAUCUGAGGCAAAACCUUCUCUAAUCUAAUUGCUAAUAUUUUGGAAAAGAUUUUAGAAUCCACAUUCAACAGAGAUAUAGGCCUAUAUGAUGUACAUUCAGUGGGAUCUUUAGUUUUUUUAGGAAUUAAGGAAAUUGAUGCUUCAUAAAAGGAUUGUGGUAAUUUACCUACUAAUAAAGCAUCUUUAAAAACUUUACAUAAUCAGGGAGAGAGUAAAUCUGAAAAGGUCUUAAAAAAUUCAGCUAUAUAACCAUCUGGACCAGAUGCUUUACCUGAGUUUAUUGAAAAAAUUGCCUUCUUUAUUUCCUCUUCAGUAAUGGUUUAUCUAGUACUAAACGUUCAUCAACUGGUAAUUCCGGAAAAUUUAGUUUCCUUAAAAAUAUAUAUUGGAAUGAAAUGAUCUGUAAGGAUAGCAUGUAAAACCAAGUCUUUCACUGUAACUUAGCACUUGUAACAAUAAUAAAACAAUGUUAUCUUUUUAACUAUUAAUCUUCCAUUUGAACUGAAAUUAAAGGCUGCUUUGUGCGUUUAUUUUGGAACAGUGGAUAUAAAAUCAAAGCCACAAUAGAAUUGAAUGUCACACAGUAAAAGCAAAACAUGUUGGAAAAAUGCCAUUGAAACUACUCUUAAUAAUUAUAGUAAUUUAUACUUUAGAACAGUCAAUAGAUUGAUUCAAUCUCAAGAAAAUUCAGUACAUUUAUUCAUUUGAAAGCAGAGGAAACUGUGAACGCCUAAGCAGAGUUUUCUGUGUGUAAAUAAUACAAGUUCCUCUUAGCAUUAUACUUCUGGAUGGAUGUGCAGUGAAUUUUCAAUCCGCUCUCAACUUUUUCGCUUAGUGUCGAGGACAUCUCUACAAUAUAUACAUUUCCUGGAUAUUCUUGGACCAAUGAAAUAAUAAUGUGCUGCCAAAUUGAAGCGUAUAUUUGACCGCACAACGCCGGUAUUUAAAUUUUUUUAGCCAGCGUGAAACAAACUUACUAAAGCAAAAUAUAUCAGCUGCCGGAAAAUUAAGAUGAACGCAGAAAGUGCAGGAAAAUACUCAGCGGGUCAAGGCAGUGUCUGUGGAGAGAGAAAUAGGGUUAAUUAUCCUUCGUUUCAAAGGUUUCUCGUCAGCGGAGCCCCUCCACCUGCUUCUUGCUAACCAGUUGCUCUCCCAGCACGGCGACCCGGUCGUUGGUAUCCGCGCCUAGUCCAGGGCGGUGCAAGAAUGGUCGAGAGGGUUGAAGUUCGAGACUGGAAACGGCACGUAUCAAUGGGCUGGGAAAGACUUCAAGAAAACACCAGCGGCAGCAAGCAACAGGACUCUGCGAAGACAGGUAACAAUAAAGUGAACAGUUCGUUGUGUGCAAAAUCCAAAUCUGCCCUUUUCACUCACAACACAAAUAACAGCCAGCUGCAAAUGAAUCGCAGAUUAAUUCACUUGGUGAAAAAGCCUCCACAGUACCAUCUGCACAGAAGGCAUAAUGUGAAGUACUGGUAUGAAGAGCCAAGGGUUGGUAUGGGGAAAAAACACCAGACAAUGGGGACGUAUGGAUCUUUCCUCGGGUUGUGUGACUCCUUACAGAAGUGAAACCAUGUGCCGAUGACUGUAUCUCAUGAGAAAAUAUGGCAGCAAGAAAGACCAGAAUCGUGGCAAUUUCUGUAUAGGACCAUUGUUAUUCAAUAGAUACAAUACCUGUUCCAUGUAUAUUUUAAACCAUGCUGGAAAUUAUUAAUGUGAAAGAAUAGCAUAAUGUGAACAAGUCAGUUAAAAAUUAAUAAAGAUUAGCAGGAAAUAUAAUACUGAUCUAUUCAUGAAAGACCAUCCCAUUUCAAUGUUGGGACCAUGUGUCUCAGUAGAAAUAAAUCCAAACCUGUGACGGCUAACAUCUAAAAGGAUAAAGCAAGUAUGUAAAUAUAAUCACACCCAGCUUGAAGUUUCCUUCCAAGUUACACACUGUCCUGUCUUGUUCCUCCAAUGUCUCUGCUUCGUAACCUGAGCUCUCCCCUUCAAAAAGCCAAAUGACAGGAUGACAAGGCCUCGACAGUGGUGAAGAAUACCAAAUUAAUUACAUGUACAUGCAUCAUUAAUUGUUGCUCAAGAAUAGCUAGAAUUUGGAAAUAACCAUCUUGCCAGCAUUGUCAUAACACAUUAAUUAAUAAAAUGUCCCACUGUUAUAGAUCACAGGAAAGAAUACAUGAAUUAAGCUUUUCAUCCAAAGAUGCAGAGUGUUGAAUUCAAGAAAGCCAUUUUUGUGGUGAACUACAUUGCUUCUGAAAUGUUACGUUUUUGAUCUUUGCUUAUGAAGAUUUUUAAUGUUAUAGGAGUGGAAAUACUGGGGGAGGAAUCACCAAGAGUGACUUUGUGAUUAAUUCAUAGGUGACAAUUUAAUUUGGGUUUAAGCUAGAUAGAAUUAGGCAAUUCAGUAAAAACUUCACAGCUUUCUGCAUUUUGCUUUUUAUAAAUGCCUACUAAUUCACUUUCUGAAAGAUAUUUCUUUAAGCUCUAUAUUCUCAGGUUGAAGAACAUAUACUUUAAAAUACAAAAGUCUGCUGAAAUUAGUACAACCUUAACACACAUGAACACUAUUUAGACCAUAAGACAGAGGAGCAGAAUUAGGUUACUUUGUCCAUGGAGUCUGCUCUGCCAUUUCAGUAUGGCUGAUCCAUUUCCCUCUCAAACCCACUCUCCUGUCUUCUCACCAUAUCCUGUCCUGCCCUGACUAAUCAAGAAGCUGUCAACCUCUUCUUAAAUGUACCCACUGACCUGGCCUCCUCAGCCAACUGUGGCUAUAAAUUUCACAGAUUCACCACUCUCUGGCUAAAAUAAUUCCUCCCUUUCGCUGUUCUAAAUCGCUAUCCCUCCAUUCUGAGGCUGUGCCCUCUGGUUCUAAACUCUCCCACUAAGCGAAACAACCUCUUCACAUCCACUCUAUCAAGGUCUUUCAACGUUUGAUGCUUUAAUGAGAUUGCCCCUCAUUCUUCUAAAUUUCAGCAAGUACAGGCCCAGAACCUUCAAUUGUUGCUCAUGUAAUAUCUUACAUUCCUGGAAUCAUUCAUAUGAACCUCCUUUGAACCCUCACUAAUGUCGGGACAUACUUUCUUAAAGAAGGGGCCCAAAACAGCUCUCAAUACUCCAGGUGAGGCCUCACCAGUGUUUUAUAAAGCCUCAACGUGACAUCCUUGCUUUUAUAUUUCAAUUCUCAUGAAAUAAUAUUGCAUUCACCUUCCUCACCACAGACUCAACCUGCAAACUAACCUUUAGGAAAUCCUUCAUGUGAACUCCCCAAUCCCUUUGCACCUCAGAUUUUUAAAUUUUUUCUCUGUUUAGAAAAUAGUCUAUGCUUUUAUUCCUUCUACAAAAGUGCGUGAAUAUACACUUGCCGCCAUCUACCAUCUCAGCCCAUUUUCCUAAUUUGUCUAAGUCCUUCUGUAGACUCUCUGCUUCCUCAACACUAUCUGACCAUCCACCUAUCUUCAUAUUGUCAGCAGACUAGCCACAAGGCUGUCAUCUAAAUCAUUGACAUACAAUGUAAGAAGGACCUGGUCCCAACAUAGACCCGUCACCUGGUAGCCAGACUGGAAAGGAUCCCUUUAUUCCCACUCUUUGCUUCUUCAAAGAAUUCCAAAAGAUUUGUCAGGCAAAAUUUUCCCUGAAGGAAAGUAUGCUGAUUUUGGUCUGUAUUAUCAUGAGUCUCCAAGUACCCUAAAACCUCUAUCCUUAGUAAUCGACUGGUAAAAACCAGUUUAUACUGGUUAAAACUAGUUAAUACUGGUUAAAACUGAUUUAUACUAGUUAAAACGGGUAAAACUGGUUUACAUAGGGAAAUACUGGAUUUAUACUGAUAAAAACUGGAUAAAACUGGUUUAUACUGGUUAAAACUUUUUAAAACAUUGUUUUAUACUGGUAAAAACUGGUAUAUACUGUUUAAACAGGUAAUAACGUUAACAGGCAAAUACUGUAACAACUGGUUUAUACUGUUUAAAACUGUUUUAUUCUGUUUAUACUGGUAAAAAGUAGUUUAUACUGGUUAAAACUGGUUUAUACUGGUUAAAACAGGUUUAUACGUAAAAACAAAACUGGUUUAUACUGGUUUUAUACUGGUUAAAACCACUUUUAUACUGGUUAGAACUUGGUUAAACCAGUUUAUACUGGUUAAAACUGGUUAAGAUAGGUUUAUACUGAUAAAAAUCAGUUCAUACUGGUAUAAACUGGUUAAAAAGGAUUAAAAUGGUUUAUACUGGUAAAAUUGUUAAAAACCGCUUUAAACUGGUUAAAACUGGUUAAACAUGUUUUGACUGGUUAAAACCGGUUUAAUCCAGUUUAUACUGGUAAAAACCGGUUGAAACUGGUUUAUACUGGUUAAAACUGGUUUAAACCAGUUUAUACUGGUAAAAACUGGUAUAUACUGAUUAAAACAGGCAAACUGGUUUAUAACAAAACAAAAAAAAUGGUUUGUUUUUUAAAACAAAAAAAAUGGUUCACAGGCAAACUGGUUUAUACUGGUUAAAGCUGGUUUAAACCAGUUUAUACUGGUAAGAACUGGUUAAAAUCAGUUUAUACUAGUAAAAACUGGUUUAUACUGGUAAAAACUGGUUAAACGUCUCUACUGUUUAAACUGGCUUAAUCCGGUUUAUACUGGUUAAAAUAGGUUUAAACCGGUUUAUACUGGUAAGAACUGGUUAAAAAUUAAAACUGGUUAAAGCUGGUUUAUACUUGGAAAAACUUAAAACUAGUCUAUACUGGUAAAACUGGUUAAAACUGAUUUUAUACUGGUUAAAACUGGUAAAAACGGGUUUAUACUGCUAACAACUGGUUUAAACUGGUUUAUACAGGUUAAAACCACUUAAAACUGGUUUAAACAGGUAAAACCGGGUUAUACUGGUUAAAACUGGUAAAAACUGGUUUAUUCUGUUUAUACUGGUUAAAACUGGUUUAUACGGGUUAAAACAGGUUUAUACGUAAAAAAGGUUUAUACUGGUUGAAACUGGUUAAAAUUGGUUUAUACUGGUAAAAACCAGUUAAAACUGGUGUAAACCGGUUUAUACUGGUUUAUACUGGUUAAAGCUGGUUUAUACUGGUAAAACUGGUUUAUACUGUUUAAAACUGAAACUGGUUAAAACUGGUUUUACUGCUUAAAACCUGUUAAAACUGGUCUAUACUGGUUAAAACCAGUUUAAACGGGUUUAUACUGGUUAAAGCUGGUUUAUACUGUUUAAAACGGUUUGAAACUGGUUAAAACUGGUUUUAUACUGGUUAAAACCUGUAAAAACUGGUUUAUACUGGUUAAAAUGUUUAUACGGUUAAAAACUGGUAAAAGCUGGUAAGAACUGUUUUAAACUGGUUUAUACUGGUUGAAGCUGCUUUAUACUGGUUAAAGCUGGUUUAUCCUGGUUUAUUCUGGUUAUACUGAUUAAAGCUGGUUUAUACUGGUAAAAACUGGUUUAUACUGUUUGAAGCUGUUUAAAACUAGUUUAUAUUGGUUAAAACAGGUUUAUAAUGGUUAAAUGUUGUUUAUUCUGGUUUUACUGGUUAAAACUGUUUUAUACUGGUUAAAGCUGGUUUAUACUGGUUAAAACUAUUUUAUACUGUUUAAAACUGGUAAAAACUGGUUUAUACUGGUUAGGAAUGCCAUGUUUGAUAUCUAACACGUUCCAUGCUCAGUGAGCAGGUGCAGAAGCUCUGAAUGAGCUAUCGUGGAUGUACACUGGAAUAUUCAUUUGGUCAUAUACCCAUUAUACAGCCAUUCCCUGCACACUCUCCUGCAAAAGCUGAAUCUCAUCAGGAUGCAGGAACAUUGAAUUACUCUUCACAGCAGAGUUUGAUUUAAUUAAGUGAAUAUUCAGGCAAAUUCAAUCAUGUUAUAAUAAAACCUAAAUUAACAAAUGAUACUAAUAAGUACUUAUUCAGUAAUUUAAAAUAUACUGCAGAAAUUCCAGCAUGGUUCCAGAGGACUAAAAAAUUGCAAAUGACACUCCAAACUUCAAGACGGGUGGGAGGCAGAAGAAAGGAAACUAUAGCCUGACUUCAAUGUUGGGAAGAUGCUUCAGUUUUAACAUCCAGCUCCUCAGUUUCACUGGCACAGCACCAUUCACUGAUCUUUGAAAAAAAUGGAUUGUGCUUUUCAAGUAUAACUUUAAAUUUAUAUAUUAAUUAAUUAUUAAAAUAAAACUUUGAAUCAUCUUCAGCUAUUUAUACAAUUUAUUGAUGAUUCAAAAUGAGAAGAAGGCCUUCUGACAACUCAAGCUACCAGCACUCUGUGCUCUUUGCUGGUGCAUGGAGAGUCAUUCAGUGUUGAGGUUAAGUGUAAUCGGACCAAGUGUAGAAAUAGAAAUGGGAUAGAAAACUCUAUUAGGUUUAUCAAGUGGAAGCCCUCCAAAACAACGAGUAUUAUGGGUUAUUUGCAGGCAGGACAGACAUGGAUCAGGAGAAAAUCAGAAUUAGAUUUAUUAUCACUGGCAUAUGAUGGGAAAUUUGGUAUUUGUGGCAGCAGUAGAGUGCAAAGAUAUACAAAACUCUAUAAAUCAUAAAAAUUGAUAAAUAGUGCUAAAAAGAAAUGACGAGGCUGUCGAACAUUGGACACUACAGCUCAGGAACUGGCCAUUCGGUCCACAAUGUUGUGCCAAACCAGCUGAAAAGCAAAUCAAAAACAUACAAACAAUAAUUCUUACUACCUGCACCAUGUCGAUAUCCAUUCACGCACCUUUCCAAAUGUCUACUAAAGGCCUCUAAUGAUUUUGCCACUACCACCAUAGCAGUCAGCAUACUUCAGGCAUCCAUGACUCCCUGAGUAAAAAUACUUACCCCUCACAUCUCCCUUGAAUCUACACCCUCUCACCUUCAAAUGCGUGCCCUCUGGUGUUAGGCAUUUCAACCCUGGGAAACAGAUACUCUAAAUCUAAUCUUGCAAACCUCUAUCUGAUCUCUCCUCAGCCUUCAGCGCUUCAGAGAAAACAACCCAAGUUUAUCCAACCUCUCAUGAUAGCACAUGCCCUGUAGACCAGGCAGCAUGCUGGUAAACCUCUUCUUCACCCCCUCCAAAGAUCCAACAUACUUCUUAUAGAGGGGAGACCAGAACUCCAGAUGUGAUCUAACUAGAGUUUUAUAAACUUGCAACAUCACUUCCUGACUUUUAAACUCAAUGCCUCAACUAAUAAAAGCAAGCAUUUUGCAAGUUUCUUCACCACCUUAUCAAGGAACUAUGAACUUGGAUUCCAAGAUCUCUCUGCUCAGGAGCACUGUUGAGGAUCUUGCC